GACGAACGCUGGCGGCGUGCUUAACACAUGCAAGUCGAACGGAAAGGCCCUGCUUUUGUGGGGUGCUCGAGUGGCGAACGGGUGAGUAACACGUGAGUAACCUGCCCUUGACUUUGGGAUAACUUCAGGAAACUGGGGCUAAUACCGGAUAGGAGCUCCUGCUGCAUGGUGGGGGUUGGAAAGUUUCGGCGGUUGGGGAUGGACUCGCGGCUUAUCAGCUUGUUGGUGGGGUAGUGGCUUACCAAGGCAUUGACGGGUAGCCGGCCUGAGAGGGUGACCGGGCACAUUGGGACUGAGAUACGGCCCAGACUCCUACGGUAGGCAGCAGUGGGGAAUAUUGCACAAUGGGCGGAAGCCUGAUGCAGCAACGCCGCGUGCGGGAUGACGGCCUUCGUGUUGUGAACCGCUUUCGCCUGUGACGAAGCGUGAGUGACGGUAAUGGGUAAAGAAGCACCGGCUAACUACGUG
rnacentral:rRNA from 1 species